CCAGUCUAAUAUAAGCAAAACGACUUACAGUUUAACCUCCCGAAACUAAAUGAGCUACUCUAAGGCAGCCUUCAGGGCUAACUCAUCCCUGUUGCAAAAGGGUGAAAAGACCUUAUAGUAGAGGCGACAAACCUACCGAAUUUAGUGAUAGCUGGUUGCUUAAGAAAAGAACCUAAAUUCAACCUUAAACACAACACAACACAACUAAGUACCCAAAAACUUUAAGAGCCAUUCAAGCAAGGUACAGCUUGCCUGAAAAAGGAUACAACCUACCAACAAGGGUAACGUCCCAGCACUCAACACAUAAGUAGGCCCAAAAGCAGCCACCUUCCAAGACAGCGUCACAGCUCACCUUCAAAACCAAAAAAAUCCCUCCAACACUACAGAACCCUAACACACCAUUAAGCAAUCCUAUUUUCUCAUAUGAACUAUUAUGCUAAAACUAGUAAUAAGGGCAUCAGCCCCUCUUUAAUGCAAACAUACAUCAGCACGGACAAACCACCGAUACUUAACACCCGCUAAUCCCGCAGCUACAACAAAACACACAAGAAAAUUUACCUAAACCAAACGUUAACCUAACACAAGCGCAUUACAAGAAAGAUUGCAAGGAAAAGAAGGAACUCGGCAAAUUUCAGCCUCGCCUGUUUAC
rnacentral:rRNA from 1 species